rnacentral:rRNA from 1 species
UACGGGGGGAGCAAGCGUUGUUCGGAUUUACUGGGCGUAAAGGGCGCGUAGGCGGCCACCGCAAGUCGACUGUGAAAUCUCCGGGCUUAACCCGGAAAGGUCAGCCGAUACUGCGGGGCUAGAGUGCAGAAGGGGCAACUGGAAUUCUCGGUGUAGCGGUGAAAUGCGUAGAUAUCGAGAGGAACACCUGCGGCGAAGGCGGGUUGCUGGGCUGACACUGACGCUGAGGAACGAAAGCCAGGGGAGCAAACGGG